rnacentral:lncRNA from 1 species
GAAACGAUGAGAAGAAGAAGAAGAAGUAGAAACGAGAGAAAUUAUCGAAGUGCUGUUCUAAUCUAUGUUACAUGGAAACGGAAGCGGGUACGUGGAAGCGGAAGCGUAUGGAAGCACAGAAACGAGAUUUUUCAAAAAAUUAGGAAGCGGGUACGUGUUGGAAGCGUAUACCCAUAUAUACAUAUAUGUUAAUAUAUAAGAAUUUUUAAAAAAUUUAAGACUAAAGUUUAUAUGAUUUAAAUUUAAAAUAAAGAAUUUAUUCAUUUAUAAAAAAAAUUGAAAUGAUUUCAGAUUAAAACUAUGAAAUACACAUAAAUUAAAUUUAAAAUAAAAUAAAAUAUUAUAUUACUUAUUUUUAGUACUUCAUGAUUAAUUUACACAAUAUAUUUGAAUAUACGAUUUAUCUUUAAUAAAACCUCAAUGCAUAAAGAUAAUUUAUAGUAUUCAUUUUAAUAUUUAUAUAUUUAUAUUCUCUCUAUUCAAUACUAUUUAAAUUUGGAUUUUAUAUAAAUGAAAAACUAUAAUUUUAUAUUUUCAUCUAUAUAUGAUAUUGUGUCUUUUUUAAAGAAUGGAAUUUUUUUAAAGAAUAGAAGCGUGAUUCUAAAAUAGAAUUGUAAGCUUCCAAUGUGUUUUAAAAAGAAUAUUUUAGAAGCAUUUUGGAAGCGAGAUUCCGUAAGCUUCCACAAGGUUCCGAUUCCGAUUCCGGUUCCAAAGCGGGAAGCGGACGUCCGAUGAAGCUUCCGUGCAACGUAGGUUCUAAUAAGUGGAUUGUUGACUUGUUUACAAGAUAAUUAUCAUUAUGGGCUUAUAUUAUAGCCCACUGGGCUUACCAAUAAGUCAGAGGCUUUUAUAUACUUUGUAUGUUAUACCCCAACUAACUCGAGUUCGAUCGAACCAAACUGAAACAAUCAUGCUCUAUGUUCUAACCGAUUCAACAAACCAUACAUUGGUUAUUUUUUCCACUCUUCUACAGCAAGAAAAAUAAAAUCUGAUAAAAUCAUAUUUGUCAAUGACAGCACUACAUU